rnacentral:rRNA from 1 species
UACGGAGGGAGCUAGCGUUGUUCGGAACUACUGGGCGUAAAGCGCACGUAGGCGGCGCAGCAAGUCAGGGGUGAAAUCCCGGGGCUCAACCCCGGAACUGCCUCUGAAACUGCAGUGCUAGAAUCUUGGAGAGGCGAGUGGAAUUCCGAGUGUAGAGGUGAAAUUCGUAGAUAUUCGGAAGAACACCAGUGGCGAAGGCGACUCGCUGGACAAGUAUUGACGCUGAGGUGCGAAAGCGUGGGGAGCAAACAGG